GAUGAAGAACGCAGCGAAAUGCGAUAAGUAAUGUGAAUUGCAGAAUUCAGUGAAUCAUCGAAUCUUUGAACGCACAUUGCGCCCGGCAGUACUCUGCCGGGCAUGCUUGUUCGAGCGUCAUUUCAACCCUCAAGCCCUGCUUGGUGUUGGGGUCCCACGGCCGCCGUGGGCCCUGAAAGGAAGUGGCGGGCUCGCUACAACUCCGAGCGUAGUAAUUCAUUAUCUCGCUUAGGGCGUUGGGCGGCGCUCCUGCCGUUAAAGAACCAUCUUUAACUCAAGGUUGACCUCGGAUCAGGUAGGAAUACCCGCUGAACUUAAGCAUAUCAAUAAGCGGAGGA
rnacentral:misc_RNA from 1 species